AUCAUCUAGAGUUGGGCACUUUAAUGAGACUGCCGGUGACAAACCAGGAGGAAGGUGGGGAUGACGUCAAGUCCUCAUGGCCCUUAUGGGUAGGGCUUCACACGUCAUACAAUGGUCGGUUCAGAGGGUUGCCAACCCGCGAGGGGGAGCCAAUCUCAGAAAGCCGAUCGUAGUCCGGAUCGCAGUCUGCAACUCGACUGCGUGAAGUCGGAAUCGCUAGUAAUCGCGGAUCAGCAUGUCGCGGUGAAUACGUUCCCGGGUCUUGUACACACCGCCCGUCACACCAUGGGAGCGGGUUCUGCCAGAAGUAGUUAGCCUAACCGCAAGGAGGGCGAUUACCACGGCAGGGUUCGUGACUGGGGUGAAGUCGUAACAAGGUAGCCGUAGGGGAACCUGC
rnacentral:rRNA from 1 species